rnacentral:sRNA from 1 species
GGUUGCUCAGUAGGUCACUUUCUCCAAAAAGAGAUGCGCCAUCAUUCUGAAUCUCACUAUCCAACUCUAUCAUCACUCAUCACUCAUCACUCUCUCUCUUCUUUGUGCUGUGUUUGUGGUGGAUGUCGAUGUUUUUCUCCUCGUGCUGAAAAGAUCUGAAGUUCAUGAAUUCCAACCAGGCAUGUGUGAUAAUUAAUUAAUGUAGAAGUGGGCCAGAAGUAAAAGGACCCUCGCUAGUGAUUAGGGCAUUAAAUCGAGUAACACAAGCUGUUCUGCAAACUUUACAUGAAAGGGCACUACACAGAUACUUUUCAUGUUGGAGUAUUCCAUUGGCCCUUCUCCACAACAUGGGAAUUUGACUAGGUUGUUUGUGUUUUCUGAAGUUACUAGAUACCAAGAUAGAAUUGUUUGGUUCUUCUUUUG